rnacentral:rRNA from 1 species
AUACGGAGGGUCCAAGCGUUAUCCGGAUUCAUUGGGUUUAAAGGGUCCGCAGGCGGGAAAAUAAGUCAGUGGUGAAAGCCUACAGCUCAACUGUAGAACUGCCAUUGAUACUGUUUUUCUUGAGUAUAGAUGAAGUGGGCGGAAUAUAUCAUGUGGCGGUGAAAUGCAUAGAUACGAUAUAGAACACCGAUUGCGAAGGCAGCUCACUAAACUAUUACUGACGCUCAGGGACGAAAGCGUGGGGAGCGAACAGGAUUAGAUACCCCAGUAGUCC